rnacentral:rRNA from 1 species
UACAGAGGGGGCAAGCGUUGUUCGGAAUUACUGGGCGUAAAGGGCGCGUAGGCGGCCUGCUAAGUCGAACGUGAAAUCCCCGAGCUCAACUCGGGAACUGCGUCCGAUACUGGCAGGCUUGAAUCCGGGAGAGGGAUGCGGAAUUCCAGGUGUAGCGGUGAAAUGCGUAGAUAUCGUAAGGAAGACCAGUGGCGAAGGCGGGUCUCUGGACAGUUCCUGACGCUGAGGCACGAAGGCCAGGGGAGCAAACGGG